CAAUACCUUCGUUAGGUGAGGCUCCUAUGCUGGAGAGACGCUACUGCCCAAAAAUGUCCAAAGACGCCAAUGGGUCAACAGGAACUAUCGACAUAAGGUGGUUUUUAAUGUAGCUGGAUGCAAUCCUAUGCCGCAUAGUGCUAAAGCUCUACGAUUAGAAGGUCUAA
rnacentral:sRNA from 2 species